rnacentral:rRNA from 1 species
AACGUAGGUGGCGAGCGUUAUCCGGAUUUACUGGGCGUAAAGCGUGUGCAGACGGGGCGAUAAGUGGUGUAUGAAAGGUUUCGGCUUAACCGAGAUAUGUUAUGCCAGACUGUCGGCCUAGAGUGUGAGAGAGGGACGUGGAAUUCCGGGUGUAGUGGUGAAAUGCGUAGAGAUCCGGAGGAACCCCAGAGGCGAAGGCGGCGUCCUGGCUCACAACUGACGUUCAGACACGACAGCAUGGGGAGCGAACGGG